rnacentral:pre_miRNA from 1 species
AGUUCGAGGCUACAGUGAGAUGUGAUCCUGCCACAUCUCACUGUAGCCUCGAACCCC